rnacentral:rRNA from 1 species
CCUACGGGGGGCAGCAGUGAGGAAUAUUGGUCAAUGGGCGUAAGCCUGAACCAGCCAAGUCGCGUGAGGGAUGAAGGUUCUAUGGAUCGUAAACCUCUUUUAUAAGGGAAUAAAGUGCGGGACGUGUCCCGUUUUGUAUGUACCUUAUGAAUAAGGAUCGGCUAACUCCGUGCCAGCAGCCGCGGUAAUACUGAGGAUCCGAGCGUUAUCCGGAUUUAUUGGGUUUAAAGGGUGCGGAGGCGGCCUUUUAAGUCAGCGGUGAAAGGCUGGGGCUCAACCAUAGAAUUGCCGUUGAAACUGGGGGGCUUGAGUUUGUUUGAGGCAGGCGGAAUGCGUGGUGUAGCGGUGAAAUGCUUAGAUAUCGCGCAGAACCCCGAUUGCGAAGGCAGCCUGCCGGGCCAUGACUGACGCUGAUGCACGAAAGCGUGGGGAUCAAACAGGAUUAGAUACCCCGGUAGUC